rfam:TPA: Bos taurus chromosome 24, whole genome shotgun sequence.
UCCCUGGUGGUCUAGUGGCUAACAUUCUGUGCUCCCAACGCAGGGGGCCCAGGUUUGAUCCCUGGUCAAGGAA